GAUGAACGCUAGCUACAGGCUUAACACAUGCAAGUCGAGGGGAAACGGCAUUGAGUGCUUGCACUCUUUGGACGUCGACCGGCGCACGGGUGAGUAACGCGUAUCCAACCUUCCCAUUACUGUGGGAUAACCUGCCGAAAGGCAGACUAAUACCGCAUAGUCUUCGAUGACGGCAUCAGAUUUGAAGUAAAGAUUUAUCGGUAAUGGAUGGGGAUGCGUCUGAUUAGCUUGUUGGCGGGGUAACGGCCCACCAAGGCGACGAUCAGUAGGGGUUCUGAGAGGAAGGUCCCCCACAUUGGAACUGAGACACGGUCCAAACUCCUACGGGAGGCAGCAGUGAGGAAUAUUGGUCAAUGGGCGGAAGUCUGAACCAGCCAAGUAGCGUGCAGGAUGACGGCCCUAUGGGUUGUAAACUGCUUUUGUAUGGGGAUAAAGUUAGGGACGUGUCCCUAUUUGCAGGUACCAUACGAAUAAGGACCGGCUAAUUCCGUGCCAGCAGCCGCGGUAAUACGGAAGGUCCAGGCGUUAUCCGGAUUUAUUGGGUUUAAAGGGAGCGUAGGCUGGAGAUUAAGUGUGUUGUGAAAUGUAGACGCUCAACGUCUGAAUUACAGCGCAUACUGGUUUCCUUGAGUACGCACAACGUUGGCGGAAUUCGUCGUGUAGCGGUGAAAUGCUUAGAUAUGACGAAGAACUCCGAUUGCGAAGGCAGCUGACGGGAGCGCAACUGACGCUAAAGCUCGAAGGUGCGGGUAUCAAACAGG
rnacentral:rRNA from 1 species